rnacentral:rRNA from 1 species
CCUACGGGAGGCAGCAGUGAGGAAUAUUGGUCAAUGGGCGCGAGCCUGAACCAGCCAAGUCGCGUGAGGGAGGACGGCCCUACGGGUUGUAAACCUCUUUUGCCGGGGAGCAACGGGCGCCACGUGUGGCGUCACUGAGAGUACCCGGAGAAAAAGCAUCGGCCAACUCCGUGCCAGCAGCCGCGGUAAUACGGAGGAUGCGAGGGUUUUCGGGAUUUAUUGGGUUUAAGGGUUCCGUAGGCGGAUCGUAAAGUCAGUGGUCAAAUUGGGGGGCUCAACCCCUUCCCGCCGUUGAAACUGGCGUACCUGAGUGUGAGAGAGGUAGGCGGAAUGCGUGGUGUAGCGGUGAAAUGCAUAGAUAUCACGCAGAACCCCGAUUGCGAAGGCAGCAUGCCGGCUUCCGACUGACGCUGAAGCACGAAAGCGUGGGGAUCGAACAGGAUUAGAUACCCGGGUAGUC